rnacentral:rRNA from 1 species
CAUCACUACGCUAGAUGCAUAUCAAUAAGCGGAGGAAAAGAAACUAACAAGGAUUCCCUUAGUAACGGCGAGUGAAGCGGGAAGAGCUCAAAUUUGAAAUCUUCAAGGUUUUACCUUGACGAAUUGUAGUUUAAAGAAGUGUUUUCUGUUGGAGUUUUGGUAAAAGUUCUUUGGAAUAGGACAUCAUAGAGGGUGAGAAUCCCGUAUUUGACCAUUAUUUCCAACUUUGUGAUACACUUUCAAAGAGUCGGAUUGUUUGGGAAUGCAGUCCAAGAUGGGUGGUAAAUUUCAUCUAAAGCUAAAUAUUGGCGAGAGACCGAUAGCGAACAAGUACCGUGAGGGAAAGAUGAAAAGAACUUUGAAAAGAGAGUUAAACAGUACGUGAAAUUGUCAAAAGGGAAGCGUUUGACACCAGUGUUGUUUUCUCGAAAAUCAAUUAAAAAUGAUGGGAUUUUGUGUUGUAUUGACUUUAUCAGCUUUCUGCACUUUUUUCUUAUCUUUUUUAAUGCACUUUUCGUUUAACAAGUCAACAUCAAUUUCUUUUGUUGUAAAAGAGUCAUUGGAAGGUGGCUUUUCAUUUCGGUGAAAAGUGUUUAUAGCCUUUGACUUCUGCAAUCGGAGAGAUUGAGGUCUGCAGCGUAGAUCCUUCGGGGUUAGAUACAUUUGUGCUAAGUUAUAGUUCUUUCAUAGACAACAUGUUGACUAUGAUUAAUCAUGUAGCUUACUCGCUUAUGCUAUUUUACCUACGCUUAGGAUGUUGACGAGACUGUCGAUCUC